rnacentral:misc_RNA from 1 species
UUGUUUCAUUUAAUGUUUACUCAGACGCAAAGAUGCAGAGUUGUGUGGACCGCCGGGGGCCCCUGGCGCGAACGCCGGGGACGCCCCCGAGGCAACAGAGUCGGACGACAAAGGGUUGGAGGUCGGACCACGAGGGCCCUCACUCAGUAAUGAUCCCUCCGCAGGUUCACCUACGGAGA